rnacentral:lncRNA from 1 species
AAUCCGUUUUUCCAUAUUAAAUUCUAAAAGAAAAUCUCGAUUAGAUCACUCGAUCCUAAAUCCAUCUUGCCCGGACCAAAAAGAUUAGAUUUUGCUUGUUAAUCCAAAGAGGAAAAAACCUCUCUCCAUUUCCCUCCAAAAAGAUGGAGCACGUGGAAGCCAGCAUCCAUGUUUGUGGGGCGAGCUUGCUCCCCCUGCACCAUCAUGCAAGACCCAUCUCUACUUUGUUGUAAUAGCUUUUCUUGAUGAAAUAUUGAUUUCCUUCUUUGUGAGUCUAUAUCCGAACAGUAUUGGGUCUCCGGCACCUAAUCGCUUUUAAACAUACGUUGAUUCUCUAUGUAAGACCUAUUUUUCUUGUGCUUCUCUUCUUUUUUAAGGCAUUUUGUUGAUUGAAAGGGGAGCAAGCUAACAAUUUGAGGAGGAUUCACAUGGAAAAAUGGACCUUUCAGAUUCCCUAUUUGUGGGUAUUGUGGAAUUUUGGAAUUUGGGUUUGGGGCUUUCUUUUGACGUACCAAGAGGAUUUAUGGAUGGUUUCAUUCAU